UACGUAGGGUGCAAGCGUUGUCCGGAAUCACUGGGCGUAAAGGGCGCGUAGGCGGUCCGGUAAGCGCGUGGUGAAAGCCCGGGGCUCAACCCCGGGUCGGCCGUGCGGACUGCGGGACUCGAGCACUGUAGAGGCGGGCGGAAUUCCGGGUGUAGCGGUGGAAUGCGUAGAGAUUGGAAAGAACACCAAUGGCGAAAGCACUUUACUGGGCUAUUACUGACACUGAGAGACGAAAGCUAGGGUAGCAAAUGGG
rnacentral:rRNA from 1 species